rnacentral:tRNA from 1 species
UCCCUGACAGUCUAGAGGUUAGGACACCACGCUCCCAAUGCAGACGGCACAGGUUUGACCCCUGGUCAGGGAA